ACACACACCUACCCCUAUAUGUACACACACCUACCCCUAUAUGUACACACACCUACCCCUAUAUGUACACAUACCUACAGAUAUUUCUUUAUGCGACUAUAGGUGUCUAUAAUAGGCUAAACCUGAGUUCUUCUGAUAUCUCUGACUCUAAUCAUUGUGUCAUUUUCCCACUUUGCUGUAAAUUCUCCUCCAAUAAGAAACAUGGCUCCCACCGACCAUCCACUUAAUUAAUGGUUCAGUUUUUUGUUGUUGUUGUUGUUGUUUUUUUUUUGGAGACAGAGUCUUUCUCUGUCGUGGGAUUACAGGUGUGAGCCACCGUGCCCAACCAAUGGUUCAGUUUUAGCAUGAAUGCAGUGUCAGCACUGUUCACCAGUACUGCAAGAAACAACUUUAUCCACUAGAGUACAAUGCUGUGUGCAGUUCUCUUUGCCUUUGGUCUUAGAGACGCCACUCAUUUCCAAAUUACUUAUAUUAUUAACAGCACCUUUCCCCUACUGGCUUCAGUGAGCUCCUGAAACUUCUGCAGGGUUUUCUUUUUAAAUAAGUGGAUGGCCCUUUUCCAGGAAGGCGGCCUCAAGGAAAAGCCACCUCCAGGUGUAACCAGAAACACUGAGCAUUUCUCAGCGGGGAGGGGGAGGACAGCCUGACAUUUUAUUGUCUGAGCUGAACUUACGCUGUAUGAAUACAAACAGCUCCUAGAUAUUUGCAGCGUGGUGGCUUCCUGAGUCUGCAGAGUGAAGUUCUUGCUGCACCACGUGUGGGAGGUGAGGAUGCUGUUCCCUCGUUGCCUUCAAGACAUCUGCUUGGGUUUGGUCUGUCACUUUAAGAUCCUCCUGGUGGCUCGUGUUACCCUUCCCUCCCAUGUCUAGCAUGCCGUGGAAUUUACUUUCCAAAUCAUUCUACUCCCUUCCCUGUACUGUGCAUUUGAAAUCAUAGUGCUCAACCUCAACACAUUUAGAACUCCCAAGUUGCAGCGAUUCUCUACCUCCUUCCUCUUAGGUCCUGGACACGUACGAGUGCAUACAUGCCUGCAGCUUAGGCACGUUCACGUGUAGUGACUGAUCUGAUUCUCCUGACGUCACUCUGAUGCACAGGUCCCACUCAGGCUUCCUGAAAUCACCUUCCCACAUAGCCCUGCUCUGUAGAGGUCCUGGCCUCAGCCAGCUUCUGGGGGAACAUGAGCUACGGCAGCUGUUUAUCUGUUUCAAAUUACAUUAUAAGCAAACCAUGACCAUCCGUCGGUGUCAAUACGGACAUGCGGCAUCCUCACGAAUGCACCUUCAGCAAGAGGGGGUUGGUGAAAUACACCCGGGCCCCUGCAGGAGGCGGCCCCAGGCACGAGGAUGUGCUGCGGAGGCAGGUUCUACUUUCUGUUGUGUCAACAUGUUUAGCCUUUCUGGAACUGCAUGGCAGGCCUCCUGGGCCCCAGAGUUGGUGUAUAAGUGCCAUUUGGCUUGGCCGAGCAGGCUUUGAGGGGUAAUAAGAAGUGGAGACGUCCUCCCGGGCACCUCUGGCUUCACUGCGGUCUGAAGGAGCUGAGGCCUGCUAGGAGCUGCCCAAAGCAGACACGUGGGACUCCCAGAAUGAGCUCAGAAGGGAGCGCAAUGUGUGAAGUCUUAGAGGCUGGCAUAGCCAGGUAAGAGCUGAGUUUGCUGCACACACACACACAAGCAUACACGCACACAUGCACACACAUGGUGUACACUCAUGCACACACAAAUGCACACGUGCACACCCAUGCAUGUACACACACACUCAGUACAUGCUUGUGUACACACCCCUGUGCACACACGUGCAUAAGUGCACACAGUGCAGGCACACGCACUCUUUCCAAUGUGCUCCUCUCAGUGGGCAAGCCUCUGGCUUUGGUACUCACAGCAGCUCAUAUAUCUUAAGAGAACUGCCUGGAUGAGAGGCUGACCUGAAGAAGGGGCUGUGAGGGCUCCAGAUUGUAGCCAGAAUUGAAAAAAGAGGAACUAAAAUAACGGCCAGCUAGAUACUGUAGCUUCCACCAGACCAGCUUUGAGAGAGGCCACCGAGGGGAGGGGAGGAAAAUGACUUUUGCUGCUCCAGUCUGCAUCCGGGGCUCUGCCCUCGUCCUCCCUCCCACGUGGUGCUCGCUUGUAGGGAAUGCAGAAAAUGCAUCCUCUGGGGCCACCUAUCCUCAUGGACAAAAGAAGGGUGAGCCGGGUGCUAGCCUCGGCACUGUUCUCGCCUUCUGUGCAUCCACUGGGGACAGUGGGGCAGUUGCUCUCAGCCGAGCUGUCCUCUCCUCUCCAAAGUCAGCUCUCAUUAUGCUGAGAUGCCAGCAGCCCUAGCGGCACCAUACGCUUGUCACCACACGGAAGGGAUCAAAGAGUAUUUAAAGCACAGACGAGGCACACAGCUGUCUUGGUUUAGGUCCUGUCUCCUAGACAGCAGUCAGGACACAUCUGGAGGGGGCACAUCUCCAGUACACAGAUGUGUCUGCUCACUUAUGUGUCCAUCGUCAGGGCCAGUGGGGACUUUCUGUUGUUCUCAGAAGUCAAGGUACUUCUGGCCCAUCUGUUCUGACCCCUGCAUCUGUCAGCAGGGUGACAGGAGCCAUCUCAACCCAUGCCUUUUGGGGCUGUCAAGUUCCAGGCUUGCUGAGGCUGUCAGCCAUUUAUUUGAGCAGAGAGUUAUGUGUGCACAGGAUAAUGCCUGCUUAUCUCGUGACAGUAACUUGAAACCUGAUUGCUAAUGGAACAGGGGAUGCCUGACCUUUUUGGAUACUGUGUAAUCAUGCCCUUCACAAGCGAGAGGCUCAUUUAUUUUGAAUUUAACAAUGGAAGUUAAAAAAUAGGAGCAAUCAAAGCUUACUUCCUCCAUGACACAGGAGCACCCCGAAGGUCACUGUGAAACAAAAGAAGGUUGCUCCAAAGUCACCUUCCAUGAUAUGCUUCUGGAAAGGCAAAAUGUGUGCCUGUCCCAGCCCAGGAUUUAGUAUCCUGUUGCUCCAACUUAUCAUAGCAACAAUACCUGUUAAAAUGCCAAUACUGUUUGUCUUUUCCUUCCUUUCCUAGAAUCUGGAUUUUUUUUUCCUGUUGUUUUGAAAGAUUAGCAAUCAUUAUGUAAUUUAUAUUUUAUGUUGUGUAUAUAUAUAAUUUGUGAAAUAUUUAACAUGCUGGGCAUCUGAUCCAUGUAGUUGGAGUUAUGACAGUUAUAAUCCCUAUAAAUAAACUCAAUGGAAGACCCA